rnacentral:rRNA from 1 species
UGGGGGAUAUUGCACAAUGGGCGAAAGCCUGAUGCAGCGACGCCGCGUGGGGGAUGAAGGCUUUCGGGUUGUAAACCUCUUUCGCUAUCGAACAAGGCCCGCUUAGGGUGGGUUGAGGGUAGGUGGAGAAGAAGCGCCGGCUAACUACGUGCCAGCAGCCGCGGUAAUACGUAGGGCGCGAGCGUUGGCCGGAAUUAUUGGGCGUAAAGGGCUUGUAGGCGGCUUGUUGCGCCUGCUGUGAAAACGCGGGGCUUAACUUCGCGCGUGCAGUGGGUACGGGCAGGCUUGAGUGUGGUAGGGGUGACUGGAAUUCCAGGUGUAGCGGUGGAAUGCGCAGAUAUCUGGAUGAACACCGAUGGCGAAGGCAGGUCACUGGGCCAUUACUGACGCUGAGGAGCGAAAGCAUGGGUAGCGAACAGG